rnacentral:lncRNA from 1 species
UGGGACGUCCUGGGCACAGCGGCCCCGCCCUCGCUGCCCCCUGCCCAGCCCUGCAGCCCCACGGCUGGGAUCAGAGACAAUACUUGGGCCUCCUGUGCGCAGGUUCAUUUAUUGUAGAAAAUAAUAAUAAUUACAGUGAUGAACAGAACGUCUUAAAUUACAAAAACAAACCGGAGGGAAGGCAGAGGAAGCCCUCGGACCCUCCCCCGACCCUACCCAAACCUGUUUAUUCCGCCUUCACCCGUCCCACAAACCCGUCAGUCCAGUCUGCCGCCCGCCGAGGGACAGGUGGGUGGGAGGCCCUGGCGCGCUCCCUCUCACGGGUGGCCAGGUUUCCACAGCUCCAUCACGGAUCCACCCAGUCACCUGCCAGGACCUUCCGUCACGCCAAGGCCUGGGACACCCAGGAGCCUGGGGAAAGUGGCCAGAGAAGAACUGCAGCAACCGGAUGAGGACAGGAAAGGGAGGGGGUGCACGGGGGGACCCACGGAGAGGCUGAGGUCCGGGGGAGCUCUCCUGGCCAGCAGGAGCCGCUGCCCAGGCCACGGCCACACCUCGUCGGCUCUGCCCUCUCCACGUCCACCGCUGUGUGGAGGGGGUGGCUCGGGAGUCCCUUCCGUCCAUUCUGGCCGGGGGGUAAGAGGGGCCGUGCGAGGGCGCAGGGCUGCACCAUCCCUGUUUGUCUGCCUGUGGCGGGGCCAUCCCAGGUCACGGGCUGGACGGGUGGAGCUCAGGCCGAGGAAGAACAAAGCCGAAAGGGACGGCGGUGUGACCAGACCAGUUCCUUCCCGCCACUGCCGCCGCCAGCUGCCUGGGAGCAAUCAGGACACAGGUGCAGUUAUACCGCUGCAGCGGAGGGGCGGGCUGGAGGAGGGCCGGAGCCCAGGGGCCUCCCCCUGACCAGUUUCUCUAGAUUCCUGAGCCGUGGCCAACAAAGAAAGGCACAAAGGCCCCAGCCCCAGGCCCUGAGUCACCACCAGUCUCAGAAGAAACUGCCCUCUCCCAGGCUGAGCUCAGGCACUGAGUCACGGCCAGGGGCACCUGAUGUUCUCGGGGACAGAUAAGGAGGGGCAGCAGCCGGGCCCUGCCGACCUGAGGCAGGACCCGAUGACCCGAAGACCUCACACCCAGGCUCUGUGAGGGGAGAGGGCAGGACCCUCGGGGGAGAAUCUGACAGGAAGCCCUGGGAGUGUCAAAGAGAAAUUCCACUGAGAUGGCGCCCCGCCCAGUCCUGUCCUUAUCACUUUCGUCACACAGCACCAGUACUGCUAUUAUUAUUAUUAAUUAUUAUUUUUUAAACCAUCAGCAUCUGUGCAUUUGGCCUUGCCAGCAACUUUCCCAGCACUGGCCAGAGGAGUUGUUUGGGGAUGAGGACCAGGGGUGCGGGGCUUGGAGGUGAUGCCCUUCAGGACCAGGGCAGAAGAGACAGAAGCUGGAAACUGCUUGGUCAGAACUGGGAGGGGAGAGCAAGCAGGGGCCAGACUUGGCGGUACCAUUCCCCCCAGUAAAUAAAUGGUGUUUAUCCCUCAGGGAUAGAGCCUUCGAUAGAGCCAGGCCAGGGCAGCCUCUGAGACUUCAAAGGAAGGAAGAACUCAGGUUGGGACAGCUGUGGGGUGUGGGGAGAGCUGGACAGCGAAGGGGUGCUGUGUGCCGAGCACAACUCCAGGGGGCGCUACACACUCAGGUUAUGGUACAGUGGGCACCGAGUAACACCCCAGGGAGUUGUGCAGGGUGGGGUGGGCGCAGCUCUUUCUGAGGGGCCAGGAAUCCAGUUUGACCCAGGACUGGGCCAGCCGGGGCAGAGCUGCGGUGAAAGGCUUGCAGGUGUGUCCACCUCCAAUGUCCCUGAGCUCUGAAUGGGGGACAGAGAUGAUGAGCAAGGGCAUCGGGUGCAGGCUGAGGGGGGUCUACACCCCGCCCCCAGGGCACCUCGGAGAAACAGGUGGAGGCUGAGAGGCCAGCAGGAAUCCAGGAUCAGGAAAGCCUGGUUCAGGGUGAUGGCCUGGAGGUAAGUGACUCAGGACCAGGGCUCUCUGGCACUCCUGAGCCCCCACUACCAGGCCCAGGGGUGGCUGUGUCCAAUCCCCCCACAAGGAUCUCGCUAAGUCACUACGUUGUCCAGGCUGCGCUCAAACUGGCCAUCCUCCUGCCGCUCGGCUUCCCAGAGUACUGGGAUGACAGCGUGCGCCACCUUGUACAGCUUCCGGCCAGGCGGGCAGACGAUCCUGACCCACACAGACAGGUAGGUGGCCCCUCGGCUUCCCCAAGGAGAAUCGCCAGUGGUGGCCGUGUGCGCACAGGGCAUGUGGGGGACACUGGGCCGCCCAGUGCACACGAGGGCCGGCCGGACAAGGUCACAGGUGGGGAAGGUGUGUCCCCCAGCCGGCGGGGACUCCCAGAGGACAGCAGCGUCCCCAGAUCGCAGGGGCUGUGUGAUCAGAGCCAGGGAGGCCCCGCCACACCCACCCUACCCACGGGGACACACAGACAGGGACAGUUUCUGGUGGGGCUUUCCUACGAGGGCUCUGAGGAACCCUCGGGGCUGAUCCCUGGAGAGAUAGCACCCACCUGAUCCUCAGGAAGCCUUUCCUGCCUGUGAUCUCAUCUCAGCCUCGAACCUCAAGGCCAGCUGUAAACUGAGGUCCGGCGAGAAGCUGGGGUUUGCCCAGGACGGACAGUCCCCACCAGGUGGCCCUUACUGCAGUUUCUGCCGCCCUAGAAGGCUGGAAGCCCCGCAGCCCGCACCCCUCCGCCACACUUCCGGCUGGGCAGAGGCACAGGUGGGGGCAGGUGGGGGAGGGGAGCGCGGCCAGGACUUUCCACCCAGAGCCCACGGAAGUGACAGAAGCCGCCAGCCUCCCCAGCCAGCCGGUCAGAGCCAGGAGCUGCGGGGAGGGAAAGCUGGGCUCCGUGAUGCCCCACCCUACCCACAGCAGGAAAAACACCACCUACCAGGCCACCUGCAAGCUCUGCGGAGAGACAAAAUCCUCCACCCUGGCCUCCAGCCCUGACCGAUUGCUGCUGCUGUUAUCACCUUUGUCUCGGGUCACCCAGAGCUCAAGCUUGCUUUGUUCUUCCCAGCGUGAACUGUGCACGCUGACGCUGAUGAGAUGGUGUGGUCUGGGCUGGUUUGGGUCACAGGCACCCUUAUACCCCGCAGUUCAACCGGCCAUGCCCACGACACAACCCACCAUCUCGCUCCUCUUCUUUUUUCCUUUUCUCCUGUACUGGGCAUUGGACCCAGGGCCUUCCCUCUGAGCUCCAUCCCCAGCCCUUUUUUAUCUUUUAUUUUGAGGCAGGGUCUCCUCCUUCGAUUGCUAAAUUACCCAGGCUGGGAUCAAAAGGUGGAUCCUCCUGCCUCAGCCUCCCAGAGUGCUGGGAUUAUAGGUCUGCACCACAGUGUCUGACUAAGGCAGCUUGAUUUUAGGAGAGCCAAAACGUCACACGUGGUAGGGAGGAAUGAUUUUCAUGGAACACCGCUCACCCAGCUUUUAGGUUUUCUGCGAUCAGGAGAUGCGGUGGCCACAGGUGAAGCCUGCAGGAGCUGUGCCUACUCAGACCAGGGACGCCUGUGGCCUCUGAUGGGGCCGCUGUGCAGCAGCCUGGCUCAGGGUUAAGGGGGGCCUUUGUCUGUGCCCUACGGGAUUCCCAUGGCACAGGCUCAAGUUGUGAGGCUGCUCUGGGGAGUCUCUGCCCCACCUGCCAGGCCAGGGACCCCACGUCUCCUUCCUGGCUCCAGAAGAAGCAUCCUGGAGACAGCAUCCCACGGGAAGGGGCGCUCACAUCACGUCCUCAUUCAGGAGGGAGGAGGUGGAGGCUCAGACAUGGGGUGCAGGACCCAAGGGGGCUGCUGCGUCCUCUGCUCCCCACCCCCGUCUUAUGGCUGCAUGAAGGAGAUGCCGUCCUCCGGGUACAGAGGAGGAAGUGGAGGCUCAGGGCCCCUAGGAGAGGGGGUUGAGAGUCGGGCAUGGUGAUGCAGAAUCAGUAAAUCAAUAAAAAAGUAAAAUUAAAGAAAUCAAAAGAGCUACACUGAACAAAAAUAAAGUAUCUAUUUAAAAAAAAAAAACAAAAACUUUUUCUUUUACAGGAUUCACUAGGAGCUCAGCUCACAAAUUCCCCAACCACUAUAGACAGAGGUUAAGACACUAUAUCUUUUUGUUGUUGCUUGUUUAUUUUUUGAGGCAGUCUCCCUAUGUAGCUCAGGCUGGCUUCAAACUCACAGCGAUCUUUCUGUCUCAGCCUCCUGAUCCUUUAUCUUUUUUAACCAGGGACAUGCCAUAAUUAUAAAACUUCAGGGCCAGGGAUUUAGCUCAGUGGUUCCGCCACCUGCCUUGCAAGCACAAGGUCGAGUUCGAUCCCCGGUCCCCCCGCCAAAAUAUAAAACUUCAUAAAGGGCUUACAAAAGAAUGUUGUGAAACAAAAUGUGCUUCCUUCGGGUGUACUGUUUCCUGGUCCCUUUGGAGUCCUGUCCCCUCUUUGGGGCCUCACCAGGGUGGGGCCCUGGGCUGGGGACUGUCAUACUCAAGGGUGGUCCUUCGUGUCUCUCCUGGGAAAGAACCCAGAUCCCCUGGGUAGGUCCACACUCUGCUCCUAGCAGCAGUGAACAUUGGAAAAGACGUCACCUCUGGACCCAUUUCCUGACCUGCGGAAGGAAGUGACAGCCCAGGUCUCCUGGCCACCAAGGCCCAGAGCUGGACCCCUAUGGCCACUGAGGCCCUUCCUGGCCCGUGUCCAGAGGCCACAGUACUGGUAACCUGCUGUCCCCAGGCUGGGCCCCACAUGUUGGCCAUAUCAGGGUGACCUCGGGAAGACCCCCUGCUGCCUUACAGGGUGCUGUGCAUUUACAGGAGGGGGUUGGGGGGCUGUGUGAAGAGGAGGGGCAGCCCGGUGUGGUGGCGCACACCUGUGAUCCCAGCACUGAGGAGGCUGAGGCAAGAGGAUUGCCCUGAGUUCAAGGCCAGCCUACAUCACACAGCAAGAUCCUGUCUCAAAACAACAAAACUGCUCCCUCCUGCUCCCCAGUUGCCAGAGGUCCUUGUCU